AAUUUAACAGUAAAUAAAUAACCAAUAUUUAAAUUGGCACAAAUAAAACACACACAUAAUACUCCAAAUAUUAUCAGCCAGAUUCAGUACGGAGCUCCUAUUGUACAAAUAACAUAUACUUUACAAGCUCUACACAUAAUAAGCUCUAACAUAUACAAGCUCUACAAGCUCUACACGUGAUACAUUUACAAGCUCUAUACAUUUACAAGCUCUACAACCUGCCCUGGUGUUAACCCUGGUGCUCUUCAAUCUUCUUCAACAUGGAGCUCCUUCGGUAGCGAGCACAAACUGGGCACCUGCAUCAUCACAGGAAGGCAAUUUUAGAUCAUAAAAAAGAAUGUUCCAAGCACAGUUUAGAGAAAAGAACCAAGUAAAUUUGCCCUCAAUCAUACAAACAAAGUUUAGAGAAAACCAAACAUGAACAAGCACUUAUUAUGCAGUUUUUAAAGUUUUUAAUACAUUUAUUUUCUAUUAGCAAAACUGAAUAUGCUACUUCUUGAUUCAUGGCUGCAUAGUCCAGCUAGCUACACCAGUCUAGCUAGCUACACCAGCAUGUAACAUUGACAAAUAACAGGUGGCCAAACUGGACCAAAACAUGAGGAUGUCAUGUCAAGUGUUAUGCCUAAUCAAAUCAAGACGUGGCUAACAUGUGAAUCUGAGUAGACAUGCAAUUACUCCCAAAUAGAUCAACCUUUCUUUCUCCAACGUGCACUACGUGUCAUUGUAUUACAAAAACUCCAAGAUGCCACAGAACUUACAACAAAACCAAAACAAAGCAACGAAACCUGGAAAACACCCUAGAAGUAGAUGUUCCAGUAGAAGUUGAUGCUUGGUUGCAGCAACUAGUAGAGCCCCACAUCCAACCCAAAUCAUGGCCAAGGCCAUGCAGGAGCUACACCAGAGAAGAAGGAAUGGGGAGGAGCUCACCAGAGGCAGGUUGUAGCUGUAGAGGAGACUCAGCCACACCACGGCUGUGGUGUGACCAUCACCGCAUCCAGGAGAGGAUCUGGAAGCCACCGAAGCACCACUGCGGCGAUCAGGGCAAGCGUCGGGCACAGUGGCGCCACCCCAGGGACAUCACCGCACAGACAUCUCCGGCCUCGCCCUGUUUCAAGAAAUGUUCAGAACAACUUUGUCAGACUCGAUCAAUUCUGAAGAAACCACCUUCGUCGUCAGACACAUACAUACAUACAGGAAGCAAAAGAAGAAGAAACAGAGCAGGGACCUGGUCGAUCAUGGGCAUGAGUACUAACUAUACUAUAGAAGUAACAGAAGCAUAACUAACUAUAUAUAUAUAUCCUAUUUCUUCCACAAAGUGUGUAUAUAGAUAGGUCAGAUUUUUGAAUGCAUUGUUGUGUAAAAAACAAAUAUGUUGUUGAGGAAUUUGAUUAGAUGCGUGCAUGCCUCAUUGGUAUAGCUUUGCAGCAUUGGGUCACAAGAAUACCACAUAUACCCAGAGUUGCUACAGUGGAUCAGCACAACAUAUUUCUGUGAGAUCCAACACACUAACAUACAGCUCAUUUCAGGAACGCUCGAAAUCUCCCGAAAGCAUCAGAGAACAGAUUUAUCACAGAGGAAUAUAGCAAUGCAGCAUUACUACUAAUGCUCCACUUUCAGCCAGCAAGCGAUCAAAUGCCCCACAGCCUAGAAACUAAGCAUUGUCUACCACCAAAUCUGGGAACAAGGAGAUCUCAUGGCAUCAAAAAUAAAGCGACACUAGAUGAUACAAAUCGAUCUCACCGCUCGCCCACCUGCUUGAUGAGCCUGUGCACGGGGCUCCCGUUGGAGGUGAGGUUGGCGGUGUCGCGGUACGAGUCCCUGAACAGCCUGAGCAGGUCGAAUCUGUUGCUAGCAGUAACUCCUUGAACAGCUGGGAUGUUAGUCCAACCGCCAUCUUAAGCACGGAAGGAAUGCAAAAUGUUCACAUCAAAUGGCCGAGCUUCAAUCAGCAGCUCCUCAUCUGUUAGUUGUGCUAGUUUAUGACC
rnacentral:lncRNA from 1 species